rnacentral:rRNA from 1 species
GACGGAGGAUGCAAGCGUUAUCCGGAAUCAUUGGGCGUAAAGCGCACGUAGGCGGCUUUGCAAGUCAGGUGUGAAAGCCUGGGGCUCAACCCCAGAAGUGCAUUUGAAACUGCAGAGCUUGAGUCUUGGAGAGGGCAGUGGAAUUCCGAGUGUAGAGGUGAAAUUCGUAGAUAUUCGGAGGAACACCAGUGGCGAAGGCGACUGCCUGGACAAAGACUGACGCUGAGGUGCGAAAGCGUGGGGAGCAAACAGG